rfam:Xenopus laevis strain J chromosome 3L, whole genome shotgun sequence.
GGCGCUGUGGCUUAGUUGGUUAAAGUGCCUGUUUUGUAAACAGGAGAUCUUGAGUUCGACUCUUAGCAGUGACU